AGUUUUUAAUAAUUCUUUAUAUAUUUUUUGAUAAUCUUAGUAAAUUUUCAAUAAUUUUGUAGGUUCAUCCUGGGUAUGUUGAUACAGAUAUGUCUAGUCACAAAGGUCAUUUAACGCCCGAUCAAGGUGCUGAAGCUUCUGUAUAUUGUGCUCUUUUACCACCUGGUGUGGAAUCUCCACGAGGAGAAUUUAUCUGGAAUGACAAAAAAAUUACUCCAUGGUUUUCUAA